ensembl:snoRNA
GGCCUCCUGGUGCUUACCACAGGCUGUGUUCUUGCACUGACUGUAUAGAAAGAGGAGGCAGAGUGACCUCGCCCCAUGUACACCUCAGCCCUGGCCUUGUGCCUGGUCUGAACUGUGAAUGGGGAGACAUGG